rnacentral:lncRNA from 1 species
GUGGCGGCGUGGCUGUGGGAGCUUCGUCUCCGGCGAAGGUGACGGCAGAGGAGGCUAGGGGAGGGCUCAGGAAGGUGGUGUGAGGGCGGGUUGUGCGAAGGAGGGCUCAGGCGGCUUUGGCGUGGCUCGGGAGGGUGAGCUCAAUGGCGGUGUCAAUGGCGUGCACAUUAGUGGGGAAGAAAUGGCGAGGUGGCUCCGUCGAGCCGGGCUCGGCCCCUUCUAUAGCGGUAGGAUUGCGUGGGCGAGCUGGAGAUCAUCACGAUGAGCUCGCGGCACGGUUGGGCGAGCGGGCGGUGGCCGAGCAGAGGUGGCAGGCCGAGGAGGCACGCAUUGGCCGGCGGUGGCGUGAGCAGCUCGACACGUGCGUGG